rnacentral:rRNA from 1 species
AUUGAACGCUGGCGGCAUGCUUUACACAUGCAAGUCGAACGGCAGCGCGGGCUUCGGCCUGGCGGCGAGUGGCGAACGGGUGAGUAAUAUAUCGGAACGUACCCAAGAGUGGGGGAUAACGUAGCGAAGGUUACGCUAAUACCGCAUACGAUCUAAGGGUGAAAGCGGGGGAUCGCAAGACCUCGCACGAUUGGAGCGGCUGAUAUCAGAUUAGGUAGUUGGUGGGGUAGGGCCCACCAAGCCAACGAUCUGUAGCUGGUCUGAGAGGACGACCAGCCACACUGGGACUGAGACACGGCCCAGACUCCUACGGGAGGCAGCAGUGGGGAAUUUUGGACAAUGGGCGCAAGCCUGAUCAAGCCAUGCCGCGUGCGGGAAGAAGGCCUUCGGGUUGUAAACCGCUUUUGUCAGGGAAGAAAAGGUUCUGGUUAAUACCUGGGACUCAUGACGGUACCUGAAGAAUAAGCACCGGCUAACUACGUGCCAGCAGCCGCCGUAA